GGGAGGAUGGCCGAGUGGUUAAGGCGCUGUGUUUAGGUUAAGUCUUUCAAGAGACUGUGAUCUGAUCCGCAGUGGGAAACCGCGCGAGUUCGAACCUCGCUCCUCUCA
rfam:Xylona heveae TC161 unplaced genomic scaffold L228scaffold_13, whole genome shotgun sequence.